CCUACGGGUGGCAGCAGUGAGGAAUAUUGGUCAAUGGGCGCGAGCCUGAACCAGCCAAGUCGCGUGAGGGAGGACGGCCCUACGGGUUGUAAACCUCUUUUGCCGGGGAGCAACGGGCGUCACGUGUGGCGCCACUGAGUGUACCCGGAGAAAAAGCAUCGGCUAACUCCGUGCCAGCAGCGGCGGUAAGACGGGGGAUGCGAGGGUUAUCCGGAUUUGUUGGGUUUAAGGGGGGCGUAGGCGGAUCGUUAAGUCAGUGGUCAAAUUGAGGGGCUCAACCCCUUCCCGCCAUUGAAACUGGCGUUCUUGAGUGGAAGAGAAGUAUGCGGAAUGCGUGGUGUAGCGGUGAAAUGCAUAGAUAUCACGCAGAACCCCGAUUGCGAAGGCAGCAUGCCGGCUUCCGACUGACGCUGAAGCACGAAAGCGUGGGGAUCGAACAGGAUUAGAUACCCCAGUAGUC
rnacentral:rRNA from 1 species